rnacentral:rRNA from 1 species
UACGAAGGGGGCUAGCGUUGCUCGGAAUCACUGGGCGUAAAGCGCACGUAGGCGGAUUGCUAAGUCAGGGGCGAAAUCCUGGAGCUCAACUCCAGAACUGCCUUUGAUACUGGCAACCUUGAGUCCGGGAGAGGUGAGUGGAACUGCGAGUGUAGAGGUGAAAUUCGUAGAUAUUCGCAAGAACACCAGUGGCGAAGGCGGCUCACUGGCCCGAUACUGACGCUGAGGCACGAAAGCGUGGGGAGCAAACAGG